AAGCGAGACUUUUUUUUGUUUUGUUUUUUGUCAGAAACACUUCUUAACCUACUGAAGAACGUGCAGGUUUCCAGUAGUCCUGAAGCUUGGCAUCGUGCGAGUAGCAGCUAUCAAAAAGUGUCAAAAAUCACACACUGGGGGAGUUUCACUCAUUGUUGUCUGUGUUUAAAACCGAAAUGUACAAUCAAAUAGGACUUAAAGAACCCUUAUUGCAUUAGGAAUAAAAACAGGUAUAGAGUUAC